rnacentral:rRNA from 1 species
AUACGUAGGUGGCAAGCGUUGUCCGGAUUUAUUGGGCGUAAAGCGAGCGCAGGCGGUUUCUUAAGUCUGAUGUGAAAGCCCUCGGCUCGACCGGGGCGGGUCAUUGGAAACUGGGAGACUUGAGGGCAGAAGAGGAGAGUGGAAUUCCAUGUGUAGCGGGGAAAUGCGUAGAUAUAUGGAGGAACGCCAGUGGCGAAGGCGGCUCUCUGGUCUGUAACUGACGCUGAGGCUCGAAAGCGUGGGGAGCAAACAGGAUUAGAUACCCUGGUAGUCCACGCCGUAAACGAUGAGUGCUAAGUGUUGGAGGGUUUCCGCCCUUCAGUGCUGCAGCAAACGCAUUAAGCACUCCGCCUGGGGAGUACGACCGCAAGGUUGAAACUCAAAUGAAUUGACGGGG